rnacentral:rRNA from 1 species
AGCAGCCGCGGUAAUUCCAGCUCCAAUAGCGUAUAUUAAAGUUGUUGCAGUUAAAAAGCUCGUAGUUGAAUUUCGGGGUUAGUAGGUUGGUCAUGCCUCUGGUAUGUACUGGUCUCACUGAUUCCUCCUUCCUGAUGAGCCGUAAUGCCAUUAAUUUGGUGUUGCGGGGAAUUUGGACUGUUACUUUGAAAAAAUUGAGUGUUUAAAGCAAGCUAACGCUUGAAUACAUUAGCAUGGAAUAAUGAAAUAGGACGUUCGAUCCUAUUUUGUUGGUUUCUAGGAUUGACGUAAUGAUUAAUAGGGAUAGUUGGGGGCAUUAGUAUUCAAUUGUCAGAGGUGAAAUUCUUGGAUUUAUUGAAGACUAACUACUGCGAAAGCAUUUGCCAGGAUGUUUUCAUUAAUCAAGAACGAAAGUUAGGGGAUCGAAGACGAUCAGAUACCGUCGUAGUCUUAACCAUAAACUAUGCCGACUAGGGAUCGGAUGAUGUUAAUUUUUAUGUACUCACUCGGCGCCUUAAAC